rnacentral:rRNA from 1 species
UGCCUAGGAAUCUGCCUAGUGGUGGGGCGAUACGUUCGGAAACGGACGCUAAUACCGCAUACGUCCUACGGGAGAAAGCGGGGGAUCUUCGGACCUCGCGCCAUUAGAUGAGCCUAGGUCGGAUUAGCUAGUUGGUGAGGUAAUGGCUCACCAAGGCGACGAUCCGUAACUGGUCUGAGAGGAUGAUCAGUCACACUGGAACUGAGACACGGUCCAGACUCCUACGGGAGGCAGCAGUGGGGAAUAUUGGACAAUGGGCGAAAGCCUGAUCCAGCCAUGCCGCGUGUGUGAAGAAGGUCUUCGGAUUGUAAAGCACUUUAAGUUGGGAGGAAGGGCAGUAACCUAAUACGUUAUUGUUUUGACGUUACCGACAGAAUAAGCACCGGCUAACUUCGUGCCAGCAGCCGCGGUAAUACGAAGGGUGCAAGCGUUAAUCGGAAUUACUGGGCGUAAAGCGCGCGUAGGUGGUUCAGUAAGUUGGAAGUGAAAUCCCCGGGCUCAACCUGGGAACUGCUUUCAAAACUGCUGAGCUAGAGUACGGUAGAGGGUGGUGGAAUUUCCUGUGUAGCGGUGAAAUGCGUAGAUAUAGGAAGGAACACCAGUGGCGAAGGCGACCACCUGGACUGAUACUGACACUGAGGUGCGAAAGCGUGGGGAGCAAACAGGAUUAGAUACCCUGGUAGUCCACGCCGUAAACGAUGUCAACUAGCCGUUGGAAUCCUUGAGAUUUUAGUGGCGCAGCUAACGCAUUUAGUUGACCGCCUGGGGAGUACGGCCGCAAGGUUAAAACUCAAAUGAAUUGACGGGGGCCCGCA